GGAGAUGAUAGAGGAUGGAAUUAAGACCGGCCGCAUUGCGAGUUUUGCAAUAUUGAAAGCGACUACUCAAGCAAUUCAAAAAGGUUUGGGAAGUGUUGGAGGGAAGAAAUAUGAGGAAGAUGCAUCUGUCAUUGUAGUUGGACUAUAGGCAUGGGUAAGAGGACUACACCAUCAUCACCCACAGGUUCAAACCCAAGCUUAUGCCUAAGCUCCACAGAAUCACUCCCAAAAUCCAUUAUACUCCAUUCCUCCGCCG
rnacentral:lncRNA from 1 species